AGCGAACGCUGGCGGCAGGCUUAACACAUGCAAGUCGAGCGGCCAUCCUGUUGGUGUCAGCGGCAGACGGGUGGGUAACGCGUGGGAACGUGCCCUUCGUCUCGGACUACCUCUUGGAAACUUGAGCUGAUACCGGAUACAUGCGAGAACAGAAAGGUUUAUCUGCCGGAGGAUCGGGCCACUUCUGAUUGGCUAGUUGGUGAGGGUAUGGCUCACCAAUGCGACGUCCAGUAGCUGGUCUGAGAGGAUGAUCAGCGACCCUGGGACUGAGACACGGCCCGGAAUCCUAGGCGAGGGAGGCGUGGGGAAUAUAGGACUAUGGCGUCAACCCUGAACCCGCCAUGGCUGGUAAGUGAUGAUGGCCUUAGGGAAGUGCAGCUGUUUUCUACGGGGCGAUAAUGACGGUACCGGAGGAAUAAGCACCGGCUAACUUCGUG
rnacentral:rRNA from 1 species